AGUGUCAGAAAAAAGCAGCACUCCUCGUCGGCCCUCCUAUCACAUCUGAUGAUGACGACGCUGCGGAAGCAGGUCCAUCAAAAGAAGUAUGGAGCAGCAGAAGUGGCACUUCUGAAAGACAUCACCACAAAAAACCUGUGGCCGAAAAGAAAGCAAGGUCGUAUGUCCCGGCCCAAUCACAGCAGGCUACCCCGCCACGAAGAUUAUCGUCCGUAUGUUCUGUCCCCCCACUCCAAAUUUUGGACACACCUCCAAGGCGUCAUCCACACUCCCCUCAUCUUGAUUCUUCGAGUCCUGGGAACAGCAUCCCUCCGCAACAACAGCAACACAGUGACAUGGAGGAGACAAACAUCUUAGAAAUGCAGCCAUUAAUGCAAGGAAUGAGCCCCCCAGCACCUGUGAGUACACCACCACAGCAAAGCACACCACCACCACAACACAGCCCAACAACACCAGGAACACAAGGCCCUGAUCAGGUGUUUUGGACCAUUUGGGCUAGACAGCAGGCCACUAAUGAAGAUUGCCUACGUAAGCAGACACAAAUGUUUGCAAGCCUACCAUCUCACCUCAGAAGAAUAUCAAGAAAUCUGAGUAGACAAAAUGAGCAAACAACCAGAAUAGGCAAUACCAUGGAACUCAUGCGUACAGACAUUACACAGGUCAUGGGCAACUUACAGCGCAUAAUGGAAGAACAGCACAGACAGCAGCAAAGUUACAUGAGCAUUUUUUAAAACAAUCAAAAGAUUAAUGAAAGUUUAUUCCGAAUAGUAGACAAUCAAAAUGCUGCUACACGUGCACUCAAUGCCACCCUCACUAACCUGAAUGAAACACUCAGAUGCAUGCACCAACUGCAAACAAGCAGUAGUUCUGGUACGACUACUCCAAAUGUCACGCCAGUCUCAUCACCACCAAGACACUCCACCAGAGCACGACAACAUGACAGUGCUAAAGGCAAAGGGCAGGACAAGCAGCCACCAAAAAAAAUGUGGAAAAAAACAAGUUAGACAUUUGUGAUAAGUAACUCAAAAAAGUUAGCAAGUGUUUUUGUUGCUAAAAUAAUAUAACACUUAGGUCCUUGACCCUUUUUUCAACAUCAUUAAUUAUAAGUGGCCCAAAAAUUAUUAUAAAUUUAGGACGCACAUUUAUUCAAAACCAUUUUUAUUUGGUAUUGGAGGCGGGAAAUGUUGAUGGAGCCACACAUACAUGUUAGCAGGAAGUAAACUGACCCCUUGAUUUUUUUCUAAUCAUUACUCUUUCUAGAUUCCAAUCAUUCUCUUUGCCUGCAGAUACAAUAAUUGCCAGCCAGGCAGAAUGUCUUUAAGCAGGAAGUAAACUGACCCCUUGAUUUUUUUCUAAUCAUUACUCUUUCUAGAUUCCAAUCAUUCUCUUUGCCUGCAGAUACAUUAAUUGCCAGCCAGGCAGAAUGUCAUUAGCAGGAAGUAAACUGACCCCUUGAUUUUUUUCUAAUCAUUACACUUUCUAGAUUCCAAUCAUUCUCUUUGCCUGCAGAUACAAUAAUUACCAGCGAGGCAGAAUGUCUUUAGCAGGAAGUAAACUGACCCCUUGAUUUUUUUCUAAUCAUUACUCUUUCUAGAUUCCAAUCAUUCUCUUUGCCUGCAGACAAUCCAAAAUACAAUGUUAGUGAUACAUAUCUUAGCUAUAUUAUCUAAACAACAUUACAAGAAGAACACAAUUGAGUUGCGUAAAAAGCUUGUAAUAUGUUGCCUUUGUUUUGUUUGAAAAACAUUGUCCAAAUGGAUGUCAGUAUUGUUGGGACAUGUUUGUGUGUGUUUAAAAUUAUUAAGAAUGUUUUGACACGUGAUGCAGAAACAAACAAAUAUGUAAUUUUACAACAAAAAGCACAAACUGUGUAUAAUAAUGUAUAUGUGUGGCAAACUGUAUUUACUUACACAUCAUCAAG